GCCAAUUUUGGCCUAAAAGAACCCAAACCAAAUAAACAAAAAAACAGUCCAAUACAUGGCCCAAAAUUAAGACAAAACCUACCCAAACCCAAUUUACAUCAAACCCUAGCCCAAAUAAUAGCCCACUUGCUUAAGAUUUUCAGCAGCAAACCCUUCCCCAAUAUGCAGCCGCCGCAUGCUUUCAGCCACUGCCGCUCGGGGCACCAACCAUCGACCUUCCAUGCGUCAUGUCACCUGCAAAGAGAGACCCAUACGCAAAGUAAUAGGAAACAACAAAGAAAACGACAAGAAAUGGCAAAAAACAAAACAAAUAUGGACAAAAAUGAUCUUAUAUUCGGUUAUAAAGCUUCGAACUUUAACAUUAUAUUGUUUUUUACGCGCAUUAAGCAAUAAAAACAGCGAAAGAACCAAAAAGGUUGAUUUUUUUAUCUCCAUUUUCAUUUUAAAUUCUGAGUUCAUUUACCCUGUUUUCUUUUUUUUAAUUAUUUUAUACGAAAAUAAACAAAAGUAAAAAAGGAGGAAAGGGAACUUACCGAUCUACUCCGUGGUUGCGCCAUCAGGACCUCCUCCUCUGUCGCCGGAUUCGAGCCCAAAAGGAGAAGAGGGGUCUUCUCUUCUCGAUCCUUUCGGGGCUAAAAAGAGGGGGCCUUCGUGCGCGUUUAAAUAGGGGCUAAAGAGCCCAUUGUCGCACCUCCGACCACCGCUUAUGGCGGCCGGUACGGAGGUGAAUCGCUACCUCGGUGACCGGAGGAAAAUGAGAAGGGAGAGAGAGCUGGAAGGCUCUCUGCCUUUUUUUUUU
rnacentral:lncRNA from 1 species